GACGAACGCUGGCGGCGCGCUUAACACAUGCAAGUCGAGCGAAGCGGCGGACGGGUGAGUAACACGUUAGUAACCUGCCUUAGACAUUGGGAUAGCCUCGGGAAACCGGGAUUAAUACCAAAUGGUCUAAGAUGGACUCGCGUCCCAUUAGCUCGUUGGUGAGGUAACGGCCCACCAAGGCGACGAUGGGUAGCCGGCAUGAGAGGGUGAACGGCCACAUUGGAGCGGAGAAACGGUCCAAACUCUACGGGAGGGAGCAGUGGGGAAUAUAGCACAAGGGAGGGAACUAUGAUGAAGCGACGCCGGGUGAACGAAGAAGGCUGUCGAGAAGUAAAGUUCUUUAAUAUGGGAAGCGGUACCAUAAGAAAAAGCACCGGCUAACUACGUGCCAGCAGCCGCGGUAAUAC
rnacentral:rRNA from 1 species